AUGGCCGACAUCGAGAUCAAGAUCGCCGUGGACAGGUCGAGGAACCGCCUGCUGUUCGCCGAAGCCGGCUCCGACUUCGUCGACGUCCUCCUCUCCUUCCUCACGCUGCCUCUCUCCGCCCUCCAGUCCUGCGCACCAUCUCCGGGGUGCCUCUCCAACCUCUGCAACAGCGUCGACCUCCUCAGGAACAGCGGUCUGCUCAAGGUCGAGGCCUGCCAUGGCAAGCUUCUCACGCCUGCUCACACCGACGAGGACUGUAAGUCAGCUAGCAAGUACUGCAACAAAGCUCCUAUCGCGGCCUGCAAGUGUUGCUUAGUUAUGGCUAGAGUCUUGCAUGUCUACGACCACGAGCAAGUGGUCAGAAAAGAGACGUUUGUGCGUGGCACACGAUGGUUUGUGAUCAGUGAUGACAUGACAAUCAAGCCGGCAUCUACCAGAAGCAUACAGUUGCUUCCUCGGGCGUUUGGUUCUGAUGGGAUCGGCCAUGGCUUUGAGGAGCUCGAAGUGACCGUCGGCUGGUCUACCGCCUUCCUUUCUUCAGAUACCAUACUCACUGACGCAUUUCUAUCAAAUGAAUCUGAUACCAAGGCUGCUCAUGGCAGUACUAUGAAGGAACAGAGCAUCAGUCAGAAAGUUCUACCGUCCAAUCAAGAUUCUGCAGGUUCUUCACCACAAACCAAGAUCAAGGUUUUCUACGACACCUGUGAAAAGGAGGUCGUGUACGCUGAAUGUAACAGCGAGUUCGUUGACCUGCUCCUGGGUUUCUUAACCUACCCUAUCAGCUGUGUGAUCAAGCACACAGGAGCUCGCACUUGCCAUCUUGGCAGGUGCUUCAGCAAUCUCUAUGGCAGCGUUGCAGAUCUCGCCAGUGCUGGGUGCUUCACAGGUGGCCUCCCCAGUGACACGAUGCCAGAGCUAGCACCGUAUUGCUUCCAUCCUGAGAUUGUCAAGGAACAGAGGUAUGUCAUUGGCGAUGAUCUACUUAUUUAUCAGGCCACUGCCACGUCCAUGAUGAAGUAUUGGUCUGGGAGGUACAAGGACAUGGUAAUGGAGAUGGACAUUACUGUCGGCAAGCAGGAGGCUGUUGCGCUGCUGCGAGCCGCGCUUACUUCGAAGAAUGCACUGACCGAAGUGUUCAUUGACAAGCUGGAGAAACAGUCCCUUCUACAGAAGAUGCAGAUAUUUGCAGAGAUCCCCUGGGGCAAGACCAUAACCCUGGAGGUCACAAGAUCCGACACCAUUGCCACUGUUAAGAGCAAGAUCAAGGACAAGGCGUCCAUUCCUGCAGGGUAUCGUCAUGAAUUGGUCUACGGUAGCAGAUAUCUUAAAGACUUGUCUACCGUUGCUGAUUACAAUCUCGUCAAAGAAUGUACCAUCACCAGCGAAAUUUUCUGGAAGUGA
rnacentral:rRNA from 1 species